UACAGAGGGUGCGAGCGUUAAUCGGAAUUACUGGGCGUAAAGCGUGCGUAGACGGUAAUGUAAGUCAGAUGUGAAAGCCCCGGGCUCAACCUGGGAAUUGCAUUUGAGACUGCAUUGCUUGGGUGCGGAAGAGGGAAGCGGAAUUUCCGGUGUAGCGGUGAAAUGCGUAGAUAUCGGGAGGAACACCUGUGGCGAAAGCGGCAUACUGGACCACAACUGACGCUGAGGCGCGAAAGCUAGGGGAGCAAACAGG
rnacentral:rRNA from 1 species